ACAAAAAAAAAAAAAAAAAAAAAAAAAAAAAAAAAAA
rnacentral:ribozyme from 12 species